rnacentral:rRNA from 1 species
UACAGAGGUCUCAAGCGUUGUUCGGAUUCAUUGGGCGGAAAGGGUGCGUAGGCGGCGCGGUAAGUCGGGUGUGAAAUUUCGAGGCUUAACUUCGAAACUGCAUUCGAUACUGCCGUGCUUGAGGACUGGAGAGGAGACUGGAAUUUACGGUGUAGCGGUGAAAUGCGUAGAUAUCGUAAGGAAGACCAGUGGCGAAGGCGGGUCUCUGGACAGUUCCUGACGCUGAGGCACGAAGGCCAGGGGAGCAAACGGG